rnacentral:rRNA from 1 species
AGGAGACGUUGAAUACAAAACACCACCAUGCGCAUUGCGGUCGUCUUUGGUGUGUCGCUCACAAGGCGGCAUCAUCGGGACGGCUUAGCUCGCAUGGCACCGGUGAAU